AUUGAACGCUGGCGGCGUGCUUAACACAUGCAAGUCGAACGCGAAAGGGACUUCGGUCCUGAGUAAAGUGGCGCACGGGUGAGUAACGCGUGGAUAAUCUGCCCUUAUGAUUGGAAUAACAGUUGGAAACGGCUGCUAAUACCGGAUACGCUCAAAAUGCACUUUUUGAGGAAAGAUGGCCUCUGCUUGCAUGCUAUCGCAUAAGGAUGAGUCCGCGGCCCAUUAGGUUGUUGGCGGGGUAACGGCCCACCAAGGCAACGAUGGGUAGCCGAUUUGAGAGGAUGAUCGGCCACACUGGAACUGAAACACGGUCCAGACUCCUACGGGAGGCAGCAGUGGGGAAUAUUGCGCAAUGGGCGAAAGCCUGACGCAGCGACGCCGCGUGAGGGAUGAAGGUUUUCGGAUCGUAAACCUCUGUCAGAAGGGAAGAAACUACGUUGUGCUAAUCAGCAGCGUACUGACGGUACCUUCAAAGGAAGCACCGGCUAACUCCGUGCCAGCCGCCGCCGUAA
rnacentral:rRNA from 1 species